rnacentral:snRNA from 1 species
GGAUGUGAGGGUGACCUGGCUGCAACAUCCAUAACUCCAUUGAUUGCCAGGGUUGAUUCGGCGGAUCUGGCUGGCUAGGCGGGUGUCCCCUUCCUCCCUGACUGCCCCAUGUGCGUCCCUCUGGAAGCUGCACACUCAGUCAAAGAGGACGACCAUCCCCGACAGUGGAGGACCGGUCUUCAGUCAAGGGUAUACCAGUAGCUGCACUCCCCUGCUAGAACCUCCAAACAAGCUCAAGAAAGGUAUGCGACAUUAUCAAGGUCAUUCAGGUAUAGAGAACCAAAGAGGAGAUGGAAGUAGCAACUAGAAUUCAGAUAUCAACAGGAGCAGAAAGAUAUAAUUUUUACAUUU